GACGGAGGGGGCUAGCGUUGUUCGGAAUCACUGGGCGUAAAGGGCGCGUAGGCGGCCUUGGCAGUCGGCUUUGUGAAAGCCCGGGGCUCAACCCCGGAGGUGCGGCCGAUACACCGAGGCUUGAGGCCGGAAGAGGAGGGUUGAAUACCCAGUGUAGAGGUGAAAUUCGUAGAUAUUGGGUGGAACACCGGUGGCGAAAGCGGCUCUCUGGUCCGGACCUGACGCUGAGGCGCGAAAGCGUGGGGAGCAAACAGG
rnacentral:rRNA from 1 species